rnacentral:lncRNA from 1 species
GCAUGAACUUCUGUAGGCAAUUUAAUAGACAUGGUCCUAUUAGGAGAAACAUAAAGAGGACUAAUAGGGGUCCUGUGAGGGGGAGGAGCCAAGGCCAUACUUGACUGAACAUUCCCCAUGGAGCCUGUUGGCCUAGUUGCUGUCUCCUCUUUUCUAGCUGUCCUUGUCCUUCAUUACUCCUAGGAAUGACUGUGUUUUUGGCUUAACUGUUUUUGGUAGGUGUUUAAGAUCAAGCUGGUAAAAAUUGACUUUGUUUCUAUCUAUCGUUAAGAGUCAGCCGUAGGGGAACUUGAGAGCAGCUUCCUAGUUCUGCUAGUGUCAUUUGCGCUAGGAUGGGUUCAGGUCUUGCUUGACCAUGUGGCUUCCCUUGGAAUCAUCAGGGAUGUCUCCUGUCUCCAAUGACCCUCCUAUUCACAGCAAAUGCAGUGAUUGGCUUUUCAUUCUCCAGUGGUCUCAUUAAUCUCCCUGAUCAGGAGGUUAUGUGGCCCAGAGUUGCAAAGCUCUUUAGAGAAGUUCCCUGUUCCCUGGAUUUCAGAAUGAUUCAGAGGGCAAGAGCCAAAUAUUGGUUUUCUUGGCCAUUUUAACUUAACUUGUUAAGUCUUAAUCUUAAACAUCCAGCAAAGUCAGUUUCAGUUUAAAUUAAGAGUAAUGGGCUUUAGCUGAAGUCUGGCCUACUUUGGAGUCAUUCUGACAUGUAAUAAGAUGGGAGGCAGACCCUUAUCUCUGGUAAGGCGGGGCUCUUUAUAAAUCUUAGGUAAAGUGUUCUAGUAUUGAACUGAUCUUUGUUUUUUAAAUAUCGUUUUAUAAAGUUUACAUAUAUUGUUGCUUGAUGUCACAUGAAUACUCGCUAACACAAUAAUGAUUACAUUUAAAUUGUACCCCAGUUUAUAGAACUUUAUAUUAAUCUUAUUGAUGACAGGUCCAGUUAUAGAACAUUAAAUGAUAUAAAUAAAUCUCCAAUAUGUUAUUUUUAUAAGCCUAAAAUUACCAUGCAACCUUUUGGAGAACAUCAGCUUGAUAUAAUUUUUUUUUAAAGUUUCUAUCUUAAUGACUUAUAUACCUGGAAAAUAUGAACACAUUUAAUAUACAAAGAAGAGUGAUAGUACCACAAUUCCUAUUGAUGUUUUAUAUUAAUCAAGUUUAGCUCUUAAAGAAAUAACAUAUUACAAUAUUGUAAAAUAACAGUUGUUGUUUAACCAUAGUUGUAUAAUGCUUAAUUCCUUCAAGAUUACUUGCUCAAAAAACUUACAUAUAUAAUCAACUUACACAGACCUUCUUUAUCACUUGCUUAAACCCUCUUAUUUACUUAAUCACAUAGACUCUCUUAUCCAGAAACACAUUUUCCUUCUCUUAAAUCCAUACCUAGAACCUUCUAAUUUCUCUUUCCCAUCUGUUAACUCCUUCUUUAUUCACAUUUUGAAACAAUACUUGUAAAUUUCUGAAUUUAGGCAAAUUAUUCCAUUUUAAUGAGAUAUUUUGUUAUUUGCAGUACACAAUUAAUCACAUCUGUUUACCAUUUCAUGAAAACAUAAACAAUGUUUAAGUGUAUAGAAUUAUACUGUUGAAGGGGUACACAAGGUAAGGCACCUAAGAUAGCACNACACAAUUAAUCACAUCUGUUUACCAUUUCAUGAAAACAUAAACAAUGUUUAAGGGUAUAGAAUUAUACUGUUGAAAGGGGUACACAAGGUAAGGCACCUAAGAUAGCACCAAAGAUAGGGAAACAGUCUUAUUUUGUUGCAGCCAGAUUCGGAGGGCAUGGCUUAUGUUGUAAUCAAUUAAUCCAUUGAACCCCAAGUUUAGGUAGUUUCAGAAUUUUGCACCCAGCAUGUGAGGGGAGGGGCUCAGAAGUUCACAAUCUGCCAGAAGAAGUUCACAAAAAAGCAGUUUUUUUUUUUUCCCCUCUGUUCUCGGCAAGUUAACCCUUCAAAGACACCUGGGAGGGGGAGAGCUUUUGCUUCCCUUUCUCUCCUCCCCCUGCCAGCUGUUCCCAUGGAGCCCAGUUGGUAACUUCCUUAUCUUAGAAAUGUAGCCAUCUCUGUGAAGCUCAGCUCAAGGCCAGAGGCCUUGUUUACAUAUUUUGUGAAAAACUAGUAAGGGGGUGUCUAGCUUUUGGAGUGCUGAUUUUUCCCAGCCAGUGUCCAAGUAAAACAGGGCAACACGAAAAGAGGAAGUUUAUCUACAUUAAACUUUUUUGUAGGGACUCUUUUGCUGACAGUCCUAAAAUCAGCCAUGGUGAAGAUUCUGG